UACGAAGGGGGCUAGCGUUGUUCGGAUUUACUGGGCGUAAAGCGCACGUAGGCGGAUCAUUAAGUCAGGGGUGAAAUCCCGGAGCUCAACUCCGGAACUGCCUCUGAUACUGGUGAUCUUGAGUCCGGAAGAGGUGAGUGGAACUCCUAGUGUAGAGGUGGAAUUCGUAGAUAUUAGGAAGAACACCAGUGGCGAAGGCG
rnacentral:rRNA from 1 species